rnacentral:rRNA from 1 species
AUUGAACGCUGGCGGCAUGCCUUACACAUGCAAGUCGAACGGUAACGCGGGGCAACCUGGCGACGGGUGGCGAACGGGUGAGUAAUGCAUCGGAACGUGCCCGGUAGUGGGGGAUAACUGCUCGAAAGAGCAGCUAAUACCGCAUACGACCUGAGGGUGAAAGGGGGGGAUCGCAAGACCUCUCGCUAUCGGAGCGGCCGAUGGCGGAUUAGCUAGUUGGUGGGGUAAAGGCCCACCAAGGCAACGAUCCGUAGCUGGUCUGAGAGGACGACCAGCCACACUGGGACUGAGUCACGGCCCAGACUCCUACGGGAGGCAGCAGUGGGGAAUUUUGGACAAUGGACGCAAGUCUGAUCCAGCCAUGCCGCGUGCGGGAAGAAGGCCUUCGGGUUGUAAACCGCUUUUGUCAGGGAAGAAAUCUUCUGGACUAAUACUCUGGGAGGAUGACGGUACCUGAAGAAUAAGCACCGGCUAACUACGUGCCAGCAGCCGCGGUAAAAC